UGGGGAAUUUUUGGACAAUGGGCGAAAGCCUGAUCCAGCAAUGCCGCGUGUGUGAAGAAGGCCUUCGGGUUGUAAAGCACUUUUGUCCGGAAAGAAAUCCUUGGCUCUAAUACAGUCGGGGGAUGACGGUACCGGAAGAAUAAGCACCGGCUAACUACGUGCCAGCAGCCGCGGUAAUACGUAGGGUGCAAGCGUUAAUCGGAAUUACUGGGCGUAAAGCGUGCGCAGGCGGUUUGCUAAGACCGAUGUGAAAUCCCCGGGCUCAACCUGGGAACUGCAUUGGUGACUGGCAGGCUAGAGUAUGGCAGAGGGGGGUAGAAUUCCACGUGUAGCAGUGAAAUGCGUAGAGAUGUGGAGGAAUACCGAUGGCGAAGGCAGCCCCCCUGGGCCAAUACUGACGCUCAUGCACGAAAGCGUGGGGAGCAAAACAGGAUUAGAUACCCUGGUAGUCCACGCCCUAAACGAUGUCAACUAGUUGUUGGGGAUUCAUUUCCUUAGUAACGUAGCUAACGCGUGAAGUUGACCGCCUGAGGAGUAC
rnacentral:rRNA from 1 species